CACUCCAGACCCUUUUUGCCUGGGUAUCAGCAGUGGAGGCUGCAGAACAGCAAAUAUUGGUGAACAGCAAAUGUUGCUGCCUGAUCGUUCCUCUGGAAGUUUCAUCUCAGAGGGAUACCCGGCCGUGUGAGGUGUCAAUCUGCCCCUACUGGGGGGUGCCUCCCAGUUAGGCUACUUGGGGGUCAGGGAACCACUUGAGGAGGCAGUCUGUCCGUUCUCAGAUCUCAAGCUCCGUGCUGGGAGAACCACUGCUGUCUUCCAAGCUGUCAGACAGGGACAUUUAAGUCUGCAGAGGUUUCUGCUGCCUUUUGUUUGGCUAUGCCCUGCCCCCAGAGGUGGAGUCUACAGAGGCAGGCAGGCCUCCUUGAGCUGCGGUGAGCUCCACCCAGUUCGAGCUUUGCAGCCGCUUUGUUUACCUACUCAAGCCUCCGCAAUGGUGGGCGCCCCUCCCCCAGCCUCGCUGCCACGUUGCAGUUUGAUCUCAGACUGCUGUGCUAGCAAUCAGUGAGGCUCCGUGGGUGUAGGACCCUGUGAGCCAUGCGCGGGAUAUAAUCUCCUGGUGUGCUGUUUGCUAAGACUGUCGGAAAAGUGCAGUAUUAGGGUGGGAGUGACCCGAUUUUCCAGGUGCUGUUUGUCCCCACUUCCCUUGGCUAGGAAAGGGAAUUCUCUGACUCCUUGUGGUUCCCGGGUGAGGCGAUGCCUCGCCCUGCUUCGGCUCAUGCUCGGUGCUCUGCACCCACUGUCCUGCACCCACUGUCUGACAAUCCCCAGUGAGAUGAACCCGGUACCUCAGUUGGAAAUGGAGAAAUCACCCAUCUUCUGUGUCGCUCAUGCUGGGAGCUGUAGACUGGAGCUGUUCCUAUUCGGCCAUCUUGGAACCACCCCAGAACAUGGCAAUGGCUACAAGUAAGACCGAGUGAUUCGAUUGUGACCACUUUCCUUCUAAGUGCUCCUGUUCUGGUUCUGGGAAAUGAUUUUACAUUUUAAUUUAAACAUAGUUUGUAGGUUCUCAUGCAUAGAUACUCUUAACAAAUGAAUACUUAGCAUUGCUUUUUUCAAGCAACAAAUAUAUUACUUUAGCUUUCUCAGAGUAAGAUUACAAAAUUGUGGAACUUACUGGGUUUUGUAGGAAAAGCUAGUUUCUAAUUAAACUCUUAAUCUAUUUUUAGUGCUGAGUACAUAUUGAGAAGGUAGAAUAUUUCCAGUGGCCUGGUUAGAAAUACUUUUCAUUGCACAACCAACAUGAAAGGAUGACUUAUUUCCAUGCCAGCUGUCCUCAGUUUUCCUGACCUUAAUGGAACAUAUUAGAUCCAGCUGCUGGAAUAUUUACUCUAAUGGAAUAAAGCAGUUGGAUUCUUUCCUUGCCUAUUUUCCAAAGAGGACAGUGUUGACCAAAAUAUGUACUUGUUGGUAGCACUAGAAGAUCUUCAUGAUAGAUACAGUUGACAACUUUUAAAAUAAUUGUCUGUCCCAAUGGGGAAAAAUGUAUAUAAUACACAGAACACUAGGUUAAUAUCCAGAAUGCAGACAUAUUUUCAUAUAUUCUUACAUCUUUCUUAUCCCCAAAUACUGGACUUCACCUUCUUGUCAGUGUAAACCUCCAUUACAGGAAACACUGAGGAAAAGGAAGUACCCACCAGAAAUCAUCUUACAUUGCAUAUAUUCUUGAUUUUAUUUCAGUGACUAUUUUUUUCUCUCCUAGGCUUGGAGUCUUUGGGAUUAAGCUUAAGUCAAGGCAGUUAUGUCUUCAGCAAAGCCUAGUUAAUUUUUUAGACCCUGAGGGCAGUUAGAGCGGAGUCCAAGGCCACAGGGGAAGGGGAUAAGAAAAAAAUACAUAGAGGAAAUGAUAAUCAGAUUUCAUGAAUACAGAGUAAAAACACAGAUCAUAAUGCUGUUAUUCAGUCUCCUUUCCACUGCUCAGCAUUUGAGAUCACUGGGAACCUCAGGACUUCUUCCACAAGCACUGUAUUUGAAGAACACAUUUUCUUUUUAAAGUAUCA
rnacentral:lncRNA from 10 species